rnacentral:rRNA from 1 species
AUUGAACGCUGGCGGAAUGCUUUACACUUGCAAGUCGAACGGUAGAGGGGGCAACCCCUCGAGAGCGGCGAACGGGUGAGUAAUAUAUCGGAACGUGCCCAGUCGUGGGGGAUAACGUAGCGAAAGUUACGCUAAUACCGCAUACGAUCUAAGGAUGAAAGCGGGGGAUCGCAAGACCUCGCGCGAUUGGAGCGGCCGAUAUCAGAUUAGGUAGUUGGUGGGGUAAAGGCUCACCAAGCCAACGAUCUGUAGCUGGUCUGAGAGGACGACCAGCCACACUGGAACUGAGACACGGUCCAGACUCCUACGGGGGGCAGCAGUGGGGAAUUUUGGACAAUGGACGCAAGUCUGAUCCAGCCAUUCCGCGUGCAGGAUGAAGGCCCUCGGGUUGUAAACUGCUUUUGUACGGAACGAAAAGGUCUCUCUUAAUACGGGGGGCUCAUGACGGUACCGUAAGAAUAAGCACCGGCUAACUACGUGCCAGCCGCCGCGGUAA